GUUAAACUAUAACAAGCACCAUUUGAGGAUUAACAGGAACAUUUUUUUGAAGAUUUCAAACGAACUCGACUUUCAGUAUAAUUGUACCUAAAGUAUUUAUAAACAGCUCAUCGGAGCCUCUAUUUGUCAUAGACUUUUGAGUUGAUUGUUGGGACCACAUAAUAGGACCAUUUUUUUUUUGUCUUUAAAAUUGUUGUAAAUCUCUGUAUGCACUUUGCUUUUUUAUUAAACGUACUCCAAGGUGAGUCUUGACUCUUUAGUGUAGGACAAGAUUGUACACUAACACCAGCAUGGACCUGCUUUUCAUUGUGUCUGAAAUGUGAGCCACGUAGUGUCGGCCUGCUGUGAAGUUAACAUUGCCAGGACGAUUCUUCUACAGAAAUAAUUUCAAAUUUUUUCAGCAUUUAGUAGUGAAAGAUAUUAAUACAUUAAUGGUAAUACAUUUCUGGUUUAAUAUAAAUUAAGGAUGUUUUCUAGUUGUGCAUGAAUGCUGGCAACUUAGUAAGUUUUGACAAUUGUUUAAAUAUGUAAUGUUAAGCUUAGGUUUAAAAAAGUAAAGCUGGUAAACUGGGUCUUUGUCAUUUGCUUUAAAAAAAAAAAAAAGAAAAUAAAUGCGAAUGUG
rnacentral:lncRNA from 1 species